rnacentral:rRNA from 1 species
UACGGAGGGAGCUAGCGUUGUUCGGAAUUACUGGGCGUAAAGCGCACGUAGGCGGCUCAGCAAGUCAGGGGUGAAAUCCCGGGGCUCAACCCCGGAACUGCCCUUGAAACUGCUAAGCUAGAAUCUUGGAGAGGCGAGUGGAAUUCCGAGUGUAGAGGUGAAAUUCGUAGAUAUUCGGAAGAACACCAGUGGCGAAGGCGACUCGCUGGACAAGUAUUGACGCUGAGGUGCGAAAGCGUCGGGAGCAAACAGG